CAUUAAGCUGUACAUUCAGCAGAUAGAAGUGAUUUAAAGCCCAGAGGUCAGCAGGCAGGGAGGCGUUGAGAGGUGUUCAUUUGAAAUGCCACCCCGUAUCAGUCCCCUUAAGGAUGCAAUUCAGCACGUUGUUUCAAAGACAGACAAAACAUGCAGACUAGAGGUGAAAUACAUCAAUGCAGUGAAAGGACGUGGUGUAUUUGCAAAGGGUUCAAUUUGCAAAGGAGAUUUUGUUGUUGAAUAUAGAGGAGAUAUGAUAAAUGAUGCAGAAUCCCAGAGAAGAAGAAAACUUUACCACCCGUCAUGUGCUGCAUUUAUGUUUGCGUUUAAGUGGAGAGGGAAAACAUGGUGUAUUGAUGCCGCUAGAGAAGAUGGAUCAUUUGGACGGCUAGUUAAUGACGAACACCAACAUCCAAACUGUAGGAUGAAAAAAAUUGACGUGAAUGGAAAACCCCACCUUUGUUUGUUUGACUUGAAUGACAU